AAUUCGUGGCGCGCGCAGGUGGUCUGUGCGCUGCCGAAUUCCCGGGAAACCCGACUUUCGUUCCCGUGACGACUAUAGUGCCUGGGGGUCAAAAACAGCAGUUCGGCAAGGCGUGAGUGCCCAGAAUUCGUGGCGCGCGCACGUGGUCUGUGCGCUGCCGAAUUCCCGAGAAACCCGACUUUCGUUCACGCGACGAAUAUAGUGGCAGGGGGCAAAAACAGCCGUUCGGCAAGGCGUGAGUGCCCAGAAUUCGUGGCGCGCGCACGAGGUGUGUGCGCUGCCGAGUUCCCGGGAAACCCGACUUUCGUUCACGUGACGAAUAUAGUGGCAGAGGGCAAAAACAGCCGUUCGGCAAGGCGUGAGUGCCCAGAAUUCGUGGCGCGCGCACGUGGUCUGUGCGCUGCCGAAUUCCCGAGAAACCCGACUUUCGUUCACGUGACGAAUAUAGUGGCAGGGGGCAAAAACAGCCGUUCGGCAAGGCGUGAGUGCCCAGAAUUCGUGGCGCGCGCACGAGGUGUGUGCGCUGCCGAGUUCCCGGGAAAGCCGACUUUCGUUCACGUGACGAAUAUAGUGGCAGAGGGCAAAAACAGCCGUUCGGCAAGGCGUGAGUGCCCAGAAUUCGUGGCGCGCGCAGGUGGUCUGUGCGCUGCCGAAUUCCCGGGAAACCCGACUUUCGUUCACGUAGUGUCCCGGGUCAAAACAGCAGUUCUGCAAGGCGUGAGUAAACAUGAAUUCGUGGCGCGCGCACGUGGUCCGUGCAGAGCCGAGUUCCCAAGAAAGCCGACUUUCGUUGACAUGACGAAUAUAGUGUCCGGGGGCAAAAAGAGCACUUCGGCAAGGCGUGAGUACCAAGAAUACAAGCCGAAUCCGGGGCGGCACUCGCGCGACCGAACAUGUGUUUUUGGGCAAAACCACAUGGAAUUUGCAUAUUACGUGGAUUUUGUGGCGUAUUCAAAAACGCCGUAGAGAACCGUACGAAAAAUCUGCAGAACUCCUGGGGGGCAGCGAUGCCCCUCUGGUACUAUAGGGGAGAGGGUUGGGUUGGCUGAGACCAUGGGUGAAACUGUGGGAAACCACUAGAUUUUUGAGCUAACGAAAGCCGAACCCCUCCCUGCAGUCGCGCAACC
rnacentral:lncRNA from 1 species